UUAGAUUCUAUGAAAAGAAAAAGUAGAUUGUUUUCUGUUCCCAGAGAGUCAGCGUCUGGUGUGAGCUGAUGUUCAGAAUUCAAAUGAAAAUCAUCUUGGAGAAUUACAGCCCAAAGCCUGUGCAAGUAAGCUGUACCGGUUAGUCCCCGUUAUCGGAGAACGUAUAAUAUGUACGUUAUGAGAGCUGUCUGUAUCUUACAGAUGGAAUAUGGGUGGUAUCGCGGAAUUGACUUCGUCCCUUUU
rnacentral:ncRNA from 1 species